rnacentral:rRNA from 1 species
AUGAACGCUGGCGGCGUGCCUAAUACAUGCACGUCGCGCGAACAGACGAGGAGCUUGCUCCUCUGACGUUAGCGGCGGACGGGUGAGUAACACGUGGAUAACCUACCUAUAAGACUGGGAUAACUUCGGGAAACCGGAGCUAAUACCGGAUAAUAUAUUGAACCGCAUGGUUCAAUAGUGAAAGACGGUUUUGCUGUCACUUAUAGAUGGAUCCGCGCCGCAUUAGCUAGUUGGUAAGGUAACGGCUUACCAAGGCAACGAUGCGUAGCCGACCUGAGAGGGUGAUCAGCCACACUGGAACUGAGACACGGUCCAGACUCCUACGGGAGGAAGCAGUAGGGAAUCUUCCGCAAUGGGCGAAAGCCUGACGGAGCAACGCCGCGUGAGUGAUGAAGGUCUUCGGAUCGUAAAACUCUGUUAUUAGGGAAGAACAAAUGUGUAAGUAACUAUGCACGUCUUGACGGUACCUAAUCAGAAAGCCACGGCUAACUACGUG